rnacentral:rRNA from 1 species
GUAGGUGGCAAGCGUUGUCCGGGAAUUAUUGGGGCGUAAAGCGCGCGCAGGUGGUUCUUUAAGUCUGAUGUGAAAGCCCCCCGGGCUCAACCGGGGAGGGUCAUUGGAAACUGGGGAACUUGAGUGCAGGAGAGGAAAGUGGAAUUCCACGUGUAGCGGUGAAAUGCGUAGAUAUGUGGAGGAACACCAGUGGCGAAGGCGACUUUCUGGCCUGUAACCGACACUGAGGCGCGAAAGCGUGGGGAGCAAACAGGAUUAGAUACCCUGGUAGUCCACGCUGUAAACGAUGAGUGCUAAGUGUUGGGGGGUUUCCGCCCCUCAGUGCUGCAGCUAACGCAUUAAGCACUCCGCCUGGGGAGUACGGUCGCAAAGACUG